CAGAAACACAGCUGGUGUGAACACCCGAAGCGUGUAUCACCACGCGCUCCUGACGUUGUAUAUGUGCCCCAGGGCUAAGACCUUAUACACUUUUGCAAUUUAUUGUAAUUAAUAAUGAAUGUUUUUUUUUUUCUGAUUUAUAACUAGAACAACUGGACACACAGUGCUGAGCUGCAUCUCAAAUUAAUCUUCAGGUUCCCAGCUUUCAGAUGAUGUACAUCACUUCAAUGUUGUAUAUGUGGUUAACUGUUGUACUGUUGGACAUAGCUGUUAAUUUUCCUCUCCGUCUCAACAGCCUCUGUCGGAAAACAUGAGUCAUUCUCACAACAAAUCUCAGGGAGCCCCUUCCACUCUAGUCACUACAGUCACCGUCUGAUACAUCCUCAGCUGGUAAAGUUCCUUUUCAUUGUCAAGUGUCUGCAAUGUCUGCUCCAGUAACACCUGCUGAAGUUCACCGCACCAAUCCUAAAACUUUCAUCUUGAAUACAAGGAGAGGCGGCACAAUACACCACAUAAGAAGCGUGGAUAUUUCUUGCCGCUAUAAAUCACUGCAACUUAAUAAUAAAUAAGACGAAGAUAAAAUGUU